CUACGGGAGGCAGCAGUUGGGAAUCUUGGACAAUGGGGGAAACCCUGAUCCAGCCAUGCCGCGUGAGUGAUGAAGGCCUUCGGGUUGUAAAGCUCUUUUACCCGGGAAGAUAAUGACUGUACCGGGAGAA
rnacentral:rRNA from 1 species